rnacentral:lncRNA from 1 species
CCAGGCGUAACCUGUGGAAUGAAAGCACCUGAGAGGCUGGAGGUGGAGAGAGCAAAGGGAGGAGGCAGCUGGGGACUAAAUUAACUGGUGCCUCGCAAUAUUAGGGGCACACAAUAGGACAUCUCCUACGACUUGAGUGUUAGAAACUAGAAACUCACACCCCCAGCCGCCAUGGAACAAAACUGCUGGGGGCUCACGAUUGAAGGCCUCACGAAAGCCUUAUUAUGUCAGAGACUCAGAGCACGUAUAUAAUCUGUGAGAUUUUUGAUGUCCAGUUUUACGCACAGUUUUGCUAUUUUAUACCCCAGCCCUUCAAAAGGAGGCAGUGAAAGCUUGUGGAUGCCCUAAACCUAAAGGCUGAUAAAUCACCCGGGCAGUUUUCAAAGCACAGGUACUUUAAGUUCAUAGGGGUAGGCCAGCCGGAUAUUUCAAAUUUACAGGGAGCUGCCUUAUACCAAGAUAGACCACUGGUCCAUCUAACUUAGUACUGUCUACACUGGCUGGCAGCAGCUCUCCAGGAUAUCAGGCAGGAGUCCUUUCCAACCCUAACUGGAGAUGCCAUGGGUUGAACCUGUGGUCUUUAUCAAGAAAAACAUGUGCUCUGUCAAGUGAGAUUGCCAGUGUGAUGCAAUUUUACUUUUCUUUUUUAGCAGACAGGAAUUAUAGCCAAAUUCCCCUAAAGGGCAUCUUCAUUGCAUCCUGAGAAUAAAGCUUGGUAGCACGUCCUCCUCUGACAGCCAAAAUAGUGGAUAGCAAGCCAUUAAAAAAGUAGGAUUUCUAUUUCUCCUAAUUUUCAUGCUGUUUUAGACAAUAGAAAACAGUCCAGCCCAAAGGUCCAUCUAGCUUAAUUAUAAUCUUCUGUACUGAGAAGGUAACUGGGAAAACGGAGAAGAGCCUUUCUCUUCUCCGUCUUUCAGUUGCAGAUGUAUGUUAGGAAAAAGCAAUGGAAUAAAUAUGCAGAGAAUGCUGCAGCUGAAACAUUGCAAAAACAUCAUCUCCAAAGACAGAUUUUAUUCCAUUCUUUUUUUGGACUAUGCACUAUUCUCCUCCUCAGACUAGCCAAGUUUUAUUUAAUGCUCCCACUUGAGAUUUGAUACGGAUGUUUUGACUAGGGGAUAUACAAGAUUUCUCUGGUUCACUCAAAAAAUGCCUUGAGCUUUUGAAAUGUUCAAGCUGAAUGCCGGGGGGGGGGGGAGCCCCUGAGGUCUCUUCAAGCAUUUAACUUUGAACACUUGAAAAGCCCAAUAUCCUGCUGCUCCGCCACCCAUUCUGCCAGUCCUCCCACCCAUGGGUGUCCAUGGGUGUGGAGAGAAAACAAGGAGACAGUUGUUGCCCCCUCCCAGAUCUCAGGACUCUUCCUCAUCGACUGUAAUGGGGAAAUCAGCAAAUACCUUUAACCUUUUUUCUUUCUUUUUUACAGAAUUGGUCAACAUUAGCAGGCAUGGCAAGGCCUUUAGAGAUCAUCUUAUGAGAUCAAGUCUGUCAAAUUCUACACAACUAGAUACAAAGUUUGUUUGUGUGUGUGUGUGUCUGUGAGACACCUUGACAAAGUUUGAGGCUUUUUUAAAAAAGAGAGAAUAAAAGAAAUGACUGUAACUUUUUUAAUGAAUCAGAUGAAAUGGUUUCAGUAAUGGAAUAAACAACCUGGGUACAGAAA